rnacentral:rRNA from 1 species
UAAGACUUUGUUGUACUGNNNNCNUCCCCNNNGGUUNAAGUNNNUGUAUNNGAGCGGUGCCCAGAUAGNCGGGGGAUAACUACUCGAAAGCGUAUCUGAUACCGCAUACGCCCUACGGGGGAAAGCAGGGGAUCGGAAGACCUUGCACUAUUGGAGCGGCCUAUAUCGGAUUANCUAGUUGGUGGGGUAACGGCUCACCAAGGCGACUAUCCGUAGCUGGUUUGAGAGGACGACCAGCCACACUGGGACUGAGACACGGCCCAGACUCCUACGGGAGGCAGCAGUGGGGAAUUUUGGACAAUGGGGGAAACCCUGAUCCAGCCAUCCCGCGUGAGCGAUGAAGGCCUUCGGGUUGUAAAGCACUUUUGGCAGGAAAGAAACGUCGCGGGUUAAUACCUCGCGGAACUGACGGUACCUGCAGAAUAAGCACCGGCUAACUACGUGCCAGCAGCCGCGGUAAUACGUAGGGUGCAAGCGUUAAUCGGAAUUUCUGGGCUAAAGCGUGCGCAGCGGUUCGGAAAGAAGAUGUGAAAUCCAGAGCUUAACUUUGGAACUGCAUUUUAACUACCGGCUAG